rnacentral:rRNA from 1 species
GACGAACGCUGGCGGCGUGCCUAAUACAUGCAAGUCGAACGAGAGCGACCGGUGCUUGCACUGGUCAAUCUAGUGGCGAACGGGUGAGUAACACGUGGGUAACCUGCUCAUCAGAGGGGGAUAACAUCCGGAAACGGAUGCUAAAACCGCAUAGGUCUUCGAGCCGCAUGGCUUGAAGAGGAAAAGAGGCGCAAGCUUCUGCUGAUGGAUGGACCCGCGGUGCAUUAGCUAGUUGGUGAGGUAACGGCUCACCAAGGCCGUGAUGCAUAGCCGACCUGAGAGGGUGAUCGGCCACAUUGGGACUGAGACACGGCCCAAACUCCUACGGGAGGCAGCAGUAGGGAAUCUUCCGCAAAGGACGCAAGUCUGACGGAGCAACGCCGCGUGAGUGAAGAAGGUUUUCGGAUCGUAAAACUCUGUUGUUAGAGAAGAACAAGUGCUAGAGUAACUGUUAGCGCCUUGACGGUAGCUAACCAGAAAGCCACGGCUAACUACGUG